rnacentral:rRNA from 1 species
GAUCCUGGCUCAGGAUGAACGCUGGCGGCGUGCCUAACACAUGCAAGUCGAACGGACUUUUCAUGAAGCCUAGCGAUUGAAAAGUUAGUGGCGGACGGGUGAGUAACGCGUGGGUAACCUGCCUUGUACUGGGGGACAACAGUUGGAAACGACUGCUAAUACCGCAUAAGCGCACAGCUUCGCGUGAAGCAGUGUGAAAAACUCCGGUGGUACAAGAUGGACCCGCGUCUGAUUAGCUGGUUGGUG